GAGGUAAUGGCUCACCAAGGCGACGACGGGUAGCCGGCCUGAGAGGGCGACCGGCCACACUGGGACUGAGACACGGCCCAGACUCCUACGGGAGGCAGCAGUGGGGAAUAUUGGGCAAUGGAGGGAACUCUGACCCAGCGACGCCGCGUGCGGGAUGAAGGCCUUCGGGUUGUAAACCGCUUUCAGCAAGGAAGAAGCGAAAGUGACGGUACUUGCAGAGGAAGCACCGGCUAACUAUGUGCCAGCAGCCGCGGUAAUACAUAGGGUGCAAGCGUUGUCCGGAAUUAUUGGGCGUAAAGAGCUCGUAGGUGGUUCGUCAUGUCGGAUGUGAAAAUCUGGGGCUUAACCCCAGACCUGCAUCCGAUACGGGCGAGCUAGAGUGUGGUAGGGGAGACUGGAAUUCCUGGUGUAGCGGUGGAAUGCGCAGAUAUCAGGAGGAACACCAAUGGCGAAGGCAGGUCUCUGGGCCAUUACUGACACUGAGGAGCGAAAGCGUGGGGAGCGAACAGGAUUAGAUACCCUGGUAGUCCACGCCGUAAACGGUGGGCACUAGUUGUGGGAACCUUCCACGGUUUCUGCGACGCAGCUAACGCAUUAAGUGCCCCGCCUGGGGAG
rnacentral:rRNA from 1 species